AGUGAACGCUGGCGGUAGGCCUAACACAUGCAAGUCGAACGGCAGCACAGUAAGAGCUUGCUCUUACGGGUGGCGAGUGGCGGACGGGUGAGGAAUACAUCGGAAUCUACUUUUUCGUGGGGGAUAACGUAGGGAAACUUACGCUAAUACCGCAUACGACCUACGGGGGAAAGCAGGGAAUCUUCGGACCUUGCGCGAUUGAAUGAGCCGAUGUCGGAUUAGCUAGUUGGCGGGGUAAAGGCCCACCAAGGCGACGAUCCGUAGCUGGUCUGAGAGGAUGAUCAGCCACACUGGAACUGAGACACGGUCCAGACUCCUACGGGAGGCAGCAGUGGGGAAUAUUGGACAAAGGGCGCAAGCCUGAUCCAGCCAUACCGCGUGGGUGAAGAAGGCCUUCGGGUUGUAAAGCCCUUUUGUUGGGAAAGAAAAGCAGCAGGUUAAUACCCCGCUGUUCUGACGGUACCCAAAGAAUAAGCACCGGCUAACUUCGUG
rnacentral:rRNA from 1 species